GGGUUUGUAGCUCAGUUGGUAGAGCAAUUCACUUUUAAUGAAGAGCGCGUUGGUUCGAAUCCGACCAAACUCA
rnacentral:tRNA from 1 species